AGUUUGAUCCUGGCUCAGGACGAACGCAGGCGGCGUGCUUAACACAUGCAAGUCGAACGAUGAACCGCUUUCGGGCGGGGAUUAGUGGCGAACGGGUGAGUAACACGUGGGCAAUCUGCCCUGCACUCUGGGACAAGCCCUGGAAACGGGGUCUAAUACCGGAUAUGACCGUCUGCCGCAUGGUGGAUGGUGUAAAGCUCCGGCGGUGCAGGAUGAGCCCGCGGCCUAUCAGCUUGUUGGUGAGGUAGUGGCUCACCAAGGCGACGACGGGUAGCCGGCCUGAGAGGGCGACCGGCCCCACUGGGAUUGAGACACGGCCCAGACUCUUACGGGAGGCAGCAGUGGGGAAUAUUGCACAA
rnacentral:rRNA from 1 species